rnacentral:rRNA from 1 species
CACGUAGGGACCAAGCGUUGUCCGGAUUCAUUGGGCGUAAAGAGCUCGUAGGCGGUUCGAUAAGUCGGGUGUGAAACCUCCAGGCUCAACCUGGAGACGCCACCCGAUACUGUCGUGACUAGAGUCCAGUAGGGGAGCGUGGAAUUCCUGGUGUAGCGGUGAAAUGCGCAGAUAUCAGGAGGAACACCAGCGGCGAAGGCGGCGCUCUGGGCUGGAACUGACGCUGGGGAGCGAAAGCGUGGGGAGCGAACAGG